AUGACUGCUGCUGUUUUCAUUUUUAACAUUUCCUUUGCAGGGGUCCAUUCGCAAAGUGUUGUUCUGACUCAGCUGGGUUCAGAACUGAAGAGACCUGGAGAGUCUGUCCAACUGAAAUGUGCCACCAGCGGAUUUGUCUUGAAUGACUGGUACAUGAGCUGGAUAAGACAGAAGCCAGGGAAGGGACUGGAAUGGCUGGUGACGUAUUGGAAACCUUCACAAACCAAUUACUAUUUGCCUGCCAUCCAAGGACGUUUCACAGCCUCCAAGGAUAGCUCUAAUUUUUAUUUGCAAAUGAACAGUCUGACUGCCGAGGACACUGCUGUAUACUACUGUGCAAGAGACACAGUGACAGCAAAAGUAUCAGAGAUCAAGCAAAAUCCCUUGCAGUGA